rnacentral:rRNA from 1 species
GGGCCCGCACAAGCAGCGGAGCAUGUGGUUUAAUUCGAAGCAACGCGAAGAACCUUACCUAGACUUGACAUCUCCUGCAUUACCCUUAACCGGGGAAGUUCCUUCGGGAACAGGAAGACAGGUGGUGCAUGGUUGUCGUCAGCUCGUGUCGUGAGAUGUUGGGUUAAGUCCCGCAACGAGCGCAACCCUUAUUGUUAGUUGCUACCAUUUAGUUGAGCACUCUAGCGAGACUGCCCGGGUUAACCGGGAGGAAGGUGGGGAUGACGUCAAAUCAUCAUGCCCCUUAUGUCUAGGGCUACACACGUGCUACAAUGGCAAGUACAAAGAGAAGCAAUACCGCGAGGUGGAGCAAAACUCAAAAACUUGUCUCAGUUCGGAUUGUAGGCUGAAACUCGCCUACAUGAAGCUGGAGUUGCUAGUAAUCGCGAAUCAGAAUGUCGCGGUGAAUACGUUCCCGGGCCUU